rnacentral:rRNA from 1 species
CCUACGGGUGGCAGCAGUGAGGAAUCUUCCGCAAUGGGCGAAAGCCUGACGGAGCAACGCCGCGUGGGUGAUGAAGGCCUUCGGGUUGUAAAGCCCUGUCAUGGGGGAAGAGAAAGGACGGUACCCCAAGAGGAAGCCUCGGCUAACUACGUGCCAGCAGCCGCGGUAAAACGUAGGGGGCAAGCGUUGUCCGGAAUUACUGGGCGUAAAGAGCGCGUAGGCGGGAUUUUAAGUCUUUGUUGAAAGCCCACCGCUAAACGGGGGAAUGGGCAAAGAUACUGGAGUUCUAGAGACCCAGAGAGGGAAAUGGAAUUUCCGGUGUAGCGGUAAAAUGCGUAGAUAUCGGGAGGAACACCAGUGGCGAAGGCGGUUUCCUGGCUGGGAGCUGACGCUGAGGCGCGAAAGCAAGGGGAGCGAACGGGAUUAGAUACCCCUGUAGU